rnacentral:rRNA from 1 species
CAGUCGCCGCGGGAAUACGUAGGGUGCAAGCGUUAAUCGGAAUUACUGGGCGUAAAGCGUGCGCAGGCGGUUUGUUAAGACAGAUGUGAAAUCCCCGGGCUCAACCUGGGAACUGCAUUUGUGACUGGCAGGCUAGAGUAUGGCAGAGGGGGGUGGAAUUCCGCGUGUAGCAGUGAAAUGCGUAGAUAUGCGGAGGAACACCGAUGGCGAAGGCAGCCCCCUGGGCCAAUACUGACGCUCACGCACGAAAGCGUGGGGAGCAAACAGGAUUAGAUACCCCAGUAGUACCUGUCUCUUAUAA